GUCAGGAUGGCCAACGGUCUAAGGCGCUGCAUUCAGGUUGCAGUUUCCUCUGGAGGCAUGGGUUCGAAUCCCACUUCCGACA
rfam:Danio rerio chromosome 4, GRCz11 reference primary assembly.